UAACAAAUUUGGGGUUUGAAAUCUUGCUUGCAUCUUUUGAUACUUGAAGAAUUCCAGCUCUCAAUUGUACUGUUGACAAUAAUGAAAUCUGGGUUUGGGUUUCUGAAUUCAGGAGUGAAUUUAGCAGAUUUUUGGUGGAAGAAAGAAUUAAAGGCUUCCUUUUUUCCACCAUAAUUGAAAUUCUGUUAGAACCCUAGUUCCAAUUUGCAGUUAAUUGGGGAAAUUGA
rnacentral:misc_RNA from 1 species